UGGCUCUUACAGGUACUUGAAGAUCAGGCCACCGUGGGUAGCGAAGAAGGGGGCGAACACAAGGGACUCCACGGCCAUGAGCUUGAUGAGGAUGUUGAGGGAUGGGCCAGAGGUGUCCUUCAGGGGGUCACCGAUGGUGUCGCCGAUAACGGCAGCCUUGUGGCAGUCUGAUCCCUUGGGGCCCAGGGUCCUUGCGUGCUCGCUGGCACCAGCCUGAAACAAACAAGGUAAAGUUGAGGACAAAGUUAAUCACUGACCAUAGAUACUGACUCGUAUUAUCCAGGACUUUUUCAGAGCCCUUACCUCAAUGUACUUCUUGGCAUUGUCCCAUGCACCACCAGUGUUGGAAGCAGAGAUGGCAAUCUGCCAAGAUUUCAAACGUCAUAAACCAUUCAACCAGUUAACACACAAAAGUAAAUACACAGAGCAACAGGAAGUGAUACGCACCUGCACUCCAGAAACCAGGGCACCAGCAAGAACACCAGAGAGGGUCUCCACACCAAAGAGGGUUCCAACAAUGAGGGGAGUGAGCAUGACCAGAGCACCUGGGGGGAUCAUCUCCUUGAUGGAAGCAUCGGUAGAGAUCUUGACACAGGUAGCGUAGUCAGGCUUGCCAGUUCCCUCCAUCAGACCAGGAAUGGUGUUGAACUGCCUGCGGACCUCCUCAACCAUCUUCAGAGC
rnacentral:lncRNA from 1 species